CUUAUAUACAAAAAGUCCGCUGGAACAAAUCUGGAGUUGCAAGUGUGCUGGCUUCUCACUGGCUGAGUCGUGACCUUGUCUCACCCGCUGGGCCGUCGCCUCCAAGGAGGAACUCUUUCACCCUCCCUGCGGAGGGAGCAAAGCUCAGCAAGGUACCUCUUCUCCUGCAGGGUCUGCUAUGGAGGAGGGCGGUAGGGCGCGAGAGCGCCCCCUCCUGGCCGCCCCGCUCCAUUUGCAACGCGGCUUCCUUUUCCCCGCCUCCUGCCUUCCAGUCAGGGUGCAGCCCGGACACGAGUAAGAGUGGCAAGCAAGUAUUGGGCGCCUACUGUAUACCAGGCAGUGAGCGCUUUUCGCGCGACCACCUAACUGACUCCUCCAAACCACGCUCUCCGGUUAUUCAUCUGCUGACCGCAUAGACGCUUACGCAGCCCGUCACCUCUGGGUAGGCAGCUGAAGCCCAGAGAAAGGGAGGGGGAGGAGAGACAUCCAGAACAAGGUUGGGCUGCCUGGUACAGCUGUGCAGAUGGUGCACUGCACAAUUCCAGGAGCGCCGUUCAGAAAGACUGCAAUGUGAAUGCUGCCCCCUGGAGUCCGAAAGAGCUCAAGAAUCACAACUCUAUGUCAUGCUCCUGGGUCAGGUGCACGAGACACUGCCAAGCACCCAUUGAACGACUCCUCUUUGUGAGCCUGUGCGGGUUUCCGGACAGUAACAAAUAAUGCACAGCAUUUGGUAGUGUUGAACGCUGAGGCCAAGAAGCAUAUCCGGCGGCAUUAAACUGUGUUCUGUACUCUUAAAUUUUCAUACAUGCAAGCCCUAAUGUAACAAGCGUGAAGUGUAAUACCCAUUCCUUAGAGUGGCCAUUCGAGGACUAGUAGAAUUGCAUCUUUUUUUCUUUAUAAAGCUAUUACUUAGUUAAA